rnacentral:rRNA from 1 species
GGAGGGUGCAAGCGUUACCCGGAAUUAUUGGGCGUAAAGCGUCCGCAGGCGGUUUGUUAAGUCGAAUGUUAAAUCUUGAAGCCCAACUUCAAGGCUGUAUUCGAAACUGACAGACUAGAGUAUUUCAGAGGUAUGCGGAAUUCUGUGUGUAGGGGUAAAAUCCGUAGAUACACAGAGGAACACCAAAAGCGAAGGCGGCAUACUGGGGAAUUACUGACGCUCAUGGACGAAAGCGUAGGUAGCGAACGGGAUUAGAUACCCCGGGUAGUCUACGCCGUAAACUAUGGAUACUAGGUGUUGAUCUGCUCGAUCGGAUCAGUGCCGACGCUAACGCAUUAAGUAUCCCGCCUGGGGAGUACGAACGCAAGUUUA